CAGAGUAGGCAGGCGCGCGUUGGCUGAGGCCGCAGUGCCGUGCGGACGGGGAGUUGCCGCACGGACGAAAAGGGAGGACCCCUUGCGGUGCGCUUGCCGCAUCCCGCUGU
rnacentral:ncRNA from 1 species